ACACACUCUCUCUCUCUCUCCAGACGAUGAAGCAAGAGAAGAAUCACAGGGAAGGUAGAAGAAAAGGAGGGUGAAGAUGGUGCUAUUGGCGAUCGCCAGUUCUUCUCCUUCUCUUCUAAAACAAAUCGAUGUGAGAAAGAGGAGAGGAGGUAUGAAACAGGCAGAAACAAAGGAGAUAUCGUUGAUUGUGGAAAUUGAAGGUUACAAGGCGACUGCCCAUCACAUCCAGGUUUAUGGGAAUAGAUUGUGGAAAUUGGGUAUUUAGUUUGGGGAGAGGGUGGUUCAGUUGAAGAGGUCCGAGAACAUGAUCAAUGGCCAGGCGAAUUCAUCGUCUGGAGUGGUCACCAAUGACAAGUGUAAGCUGAGGUUCCUGGAGUUUGAAGCCAGGAGGAGCCACCAAUUUAUCAUGGAAGCUCUAAUUUUCCAUCUUACACGGAAUAUUUCUUAAGAAGAACCCUGUUUCUUCAGUUUUUUUGUUAGAUGAAAAAUAACAAGACGUGGGAAUCCCGUUUUCUGGGUUACAAGAUUUUGGUUUUAAAUCUGCUGUUGCUGCUUGCAGAACUGAAGAUGAAGAGGAAGAUGGGUCAAGUAUUUGGUUUCAUCACUAAUAGGAUGAUCCAAGACAAGGCUCAAGUGGUGGUUCUUGGGUGGCUUAUAGGAGGAGGGGUGGUGGUUCUUAGUGACUGAAACCAUGGCCUGAGAGAGAGGGGGGUAUUUUUCAUGUUUUUCACUUUGAGGGAUUGGUCACAUUAACAAAAACAAAAUAAAAAGUGGUUUGUUUCUACA